UCAGGUGCUCAAUCAGUGGUUCAGGCUGUGGCUCAACAGUUACCAUACAAGUAGAGAGCUUUUUUUAGUUUGAUAGUGGGCUGCACUUCAAAGACUCAGUGGAAAAAUGGGCAUUAUGGAGAUCCAGUGAAUGAGGCUGCAUUUGUGUUACAUAGAAGGAGUGGGACUCAGUUACCCUUGUGGGUCCCCUCCAGGUCCAGAUAUUCGGUUACGUUACAUGUUAAGAGGCUGAGAGAUUAAAGCAGGAGAGGGAGAAGAGACUUAACAACAGUCAAUCUCUAUGUCUUCUUUCACAUGAGCAGACUGCUGUUUAGAGAAGUCAAAUCUGAGCUCUUUCUGUUUCUCCAACUGUUACACAGCCAGAUCACAGAGCAGAUUCAUCUCCCCAUGUAGCUCUGUGGCUGUUGAUGGUGAUACAAGAUAGGGAGCAGGUUGAUAUAGCCAGGAGCUGGAGAAAGCUCUCAAUAACUGAGCAAUGAGAAACAUCAGCCCGGAAUGCAGCCCCACUGCAGGAGCUUCGUCUGCGUGCAGAUUAAAGCUGAGACCAUCAUGUGUCCCGCUGCAUUUCUGAGAAUUGAGGAUUGACUCCAUUUCACCUCAAUAUAAUUCUGGUCUAAGGUACUGCAAAGCCACGGGCUGCAAGGAAGGUUUUCAUUACUGAAUUUUAGCUCCAUGGUCUGAGCUCUGAUGGAAAAAAUGAACAGCUACAAAGGCAGAGAGGGGCUUGUCUGUGGUUUAGCUGAUCCCUUUUUAUUUGGCGUAUCAGCAGGAAUGAAGUGAAUGGCCUUUUCUCUCAUCUUUUGCUCCAAGUAAUGAUUGCCUCCAAACAGCAUCUCUUAUGCAACCAGUAUUACAAUCUUGACAUCGUAAUCCUUUCCUGAACACAUUUUCAAAGCUGACAGUAAAGAACGGAAUGCUUUUCCUCCUUAGCUGCCACCCCAGCCCAGCUCUUGUGUCAGCUGGAGCUCCUCUGCUCAAGUCUUGUCACAGGCAAUGAGGUAUGCCUCUCCAGGAGCCGUAGGAAGACUGGAUGCCAGAGCCAGAGAUGAAAAUCAGUGGGUUUCCUGUGGAAAAAGUACUCAGAAAUCUUAUCAGCCCAAUAAUGUUCAUUUCCAGACAUGUCUAAUCCUGAGGGACUUGCCACUGGAUUUUACAUCUGGAUUGUAUAAGUUUCACUGAAACACCUGCGUUAGGCUCCCUCUCUAGUCAGCAGAAAAGCUCAGCAGGGUUGGGAGUCCUCCUGGAGGUACUCUGCUCUGCUGGAGGCUGUGGCGGAAUGAGCCCGGAUGCUUCAACAAUGUGCAAAAAGUGGCAGAGAUACACUGGAGCUAAUAGCAUUUGAGUUAACAGACCACAAUCCAGCUCCUGUCUUUCCAGCGUGAACCCUGCAUACUCUGAUUUCAUCCCUCAGAGGAGCAGCUGAACUUCAGCACGGAAAAGGCCUCGGUCUCCGGAGAAAAAAGAGUUUUGUUUUAAAGCAGACCCACUUAGCAAGAGGAGAAUUUUCCUCAACCCCUGUCUCACAUUUGCCAAAUUUUGCUCCCAUUGGGGUCAGGGCUUAGAAGAAUUAGAUCACCUGAGGUUGCUUUUGUACACUUCUGCCGCUGCUCAGGAUAGACCAACAAAUUUUACUCAUCAUAGAUCACAAAGUUGUUUUUUUUCUCUCUGUGUGCAAACAACUUAAUUCCUCAAACUUUUUUCCCCCAUGCAGACUGAAAGGGACUUGGAGAGCUGAUGUCCUUCAUGAGAUGUAUGCUCUGCUCCCAAAAGCAAGAAACCAGCAAUGGGAGUGCUCAGCUGGGUGUUUAUGGUUCCCUCUGGGUACAAACUGGAUAGAGAUAUUGCAGCUGUGCUGUCUGACUACAAAGAGCUUGGAUCCCGAAUUGCCUGCCCAGAAUUUACUGACACCACAACAU
rnacentral:lncRNA from 7 species